ensembl:misc_RNA Y_RNA Y RNA
GGCAGUCCGAGUGCAGUGGUGUUUACAACUCAGUGAUGGCAACCAGUUACAGUUUGCUUUGGUCCUUCUCCACUCCCACAGCUUCACUUGACUAGCCAAAA